UCCAUCAGGAAGCUGUGCCCUAUAAACACUCCCCAACAUUCCUCCACCAAUAAGAUUAUCCUGAGAAAAACUGUUUGUGUAUUGCUGAAGAGAUGCAAUUGUGUAAGAUCUCACAUAUGUUUGAGGCACAACAGGUUUGGUGGAAGUUCUUGCUGAUGUGGCGACAGCAGCCACCGCUAUAGGCUCGACAAUAACCUUCUCGAAAGGUAGAUGAAUUGGUUCUGAUGAUGAAACUGGCGGUGGUGGAGGUGGUGGUGGUGGAGGCGGUGGAGGUGGUGGAGGUCGCAUGGAGUCUAUAUCAAAUCUGGUGAAAUCUAUCUCCUGACUGUCUUGCUUUGGUAACGCGGUGAAUCUUUGCAUGGGGACUGUUCUACGUGGUGGUGGUGGUGGUGGUGAAAGCAGUUGUUGUUGCUCCUCCUUUGGUGGUGGAACUGCCGCCUUCUUUGGGGGUGCUGAAAGAACAAGUAAGAAUAAUAUUAUUAAAGGUUAAAUUUCAAGAAUUAGUAACAUACUUCCAUUUCUUAAUAUCACAAAAGUGAUUAUUGGGAAACUUUUAAAUUAUAAUGUCUUUUUUUUCCAAAAAACCCAUCAACCUUGUAAUUGCUUCCAAAUAAACCCUCAAACUUCAUGGGUUAAUCUUAAAAAUACCUUAUAUUUUGUGUUUUUUUUUCCAGAUUAAACCUCAAAUUUAUUUUUUGCCUGAAAAAAACCUUGUAUUUUUUUUAUUUUUUCCGAAAAAGCCCUCGACUUUGUAACCUUUUUCUAAAAAAACCCUCAACCUUCUUAAUGCUUCCAAAUAAACCCGCAACUUUUUUAGUUUUUCUCAAAAAAAACCCUCACAUUUUACAAUUUUUUUGGAAAAAAUGACUAAAAGGGGCAGAUCGAAAAAAAUUAAAAAAAUACAAGGUCUUUGUCAGGCAAAAAACAAAUUUGAGGAGUAAUCCAGAAGAAAAAAAAAAAAAAAAAAAAAAAAAAAAAAAAAAGCAAAAUAUAAGGUCUUUUAUGAGAUUAACCCUUUAUAAUCCUGUAGACUUUUAAAAGUAAAAAUAUUCUAAUAGGAAAAAAAAUACCUUAUCAAGAAAAAAAAAACAAAACAAAAGUAAAAAGCUAUGAUAAAAAGGAAUGAAAGUAGGAUGCUAUAACAUAUCUAAAAAAAGUACGUUGCUAUUUCUCACAUUCUUAGUUUCUUACCUUUAUCAACUUGAUUAGGUGGUUGAGCAAAGGGCCCACUCUCCAUAUGACUCUCACGAUUAUACGGAGCGAUCUCAUGUCUCUUGUUCGUCAAACCAGGAAGUCGUUUUCUUCUAAAGCAGGGUGGUAUAAAUAGCAGACAGACUAAUCCCAAAACUAUAAAACCAAAUACCGAUGCAAUUGAUACCCAAACUUUCUUUUUAGAACUCCAUGACUUAUUUGUGGAGCUAGAUUUGGACCCUUGAUUUGACGAUGGACCAUCCGCUUGUUGUGAUGGUGUUUGUUUGCCAGGUGGCGAUUGUUUCCCGGGUGUCUGUCGAGGUGAUGGGAAAAAAGGCGUUCCGGUGGUGGUGCCUGGGGGCGUGAGUGGGGUCGGGGAUGUAGGUGGAGAUAGUGGAGCUGCACUUGUGGUAUUGAAUAAGUUCCCGUCUUUU
rnacentral:lncRNA from 1 species